CCUACGGGAGGCAGCAGUGAGGAAUAUUGGUCAAUGGACGAGAGUCUGAACCAGCCAAGUCGCGUGAAGGAUGACUGCCCUAUGGGUUGUAAACUUCUUUUAUAUGGGAAUAAAAUGUUCCACGUGUGGGAUUUUGUAUGUACCAUAUGAAUAAGGAUCGGCUAACUCCGUGCCAGCAGCCGCGGUAAUACGGCGGAUCCGAGCGUUAUCCGGAUUUAUUGGGUUUAAAGGGAGCGUAGGUGGAUUGUUAAGUCAGUUGUGAAAGUUUGCGGCUCAACCGUAGAAUUGCAGUUGAAACUGGCAGUCUUGAGUACAGGAGAGGUGGGCGGAAUUCGUGGUGUAGCGGUGAAAUGCUUAGAUAUCACGAAGAACUCCGAUUGCGAAGGCAGUUCACUGGACUGCAACUGACACUGAGGCUCGAAAGUGUGGGUAUCAAACAGGAUUAGAUACCCCUGUAGUC
rnacentral:rRNA from 1 species